rnacentral:lncRNA from 1 species
UGUUUGUGUCCCUGGGUACUUGAGAUUAGGGAGUGGUGAUGACUCUUAACGAGCAUGCUGCCUUCAAGCAUCUGUUUAACAAAGCACAACUUGCACCGCCCUUAAUCCAUUUAACCCUGAGUGGACGCAGCACGUGUUUCAGAGAGCACAGGGUUGGGGGUAAGGUUAGUACGUAAUUAAAAUCUCUUACUUGUCGGGCUUUUCACCAAAAAUGAAAGUUGCUAAGGGUUAACAUUGUAACAUGUGAUUGAGACUACUGGAGAAAUGGUUUUACAUCCAAAGUGUGUAGGGAUAGUAGGAUGUGUUUUUGGUAAAAGAUUGUAAGUCGGCAUGGAAAUGUGGCUUUUGUUAAAGAGAAUAUAAUUUUGUCUAGUUUAGAGGAAUUUAAAGAUUGUCUUAACCUAAAAGAGUAUUGGGACAAAACUGAAGGUUUAAGCAAGUUGAAAAGGGUUUGUGAAGAGUUGGCCUUAUGAAGAAAGUUCUGUGGGUAUGAGUAAGUUGGCUAAGAUUUGAAGGGGAUUAUUUAAUUUUUUUCCACAUGUUGAAUAUUAAAAUAAAAGCACAUUAAUGCGGGGCCAGAAUCUGGGCCCAUGUGUCCGAAUAACAGAGUUUUCUUAGAAAACUGAGAUGCUGUUUAAAGGGUUCUAAAAAAUUUAUAAAAAUCUUACCUUAUGGUCAAACUAAUUAAAACUGAAUAGAUUGAUAAACUUUUAUUUAGAAACUAGCUAUAACAUUAAAGAUGCAAUAAUGCAAACAUGAAAUUUGGUUUUCUCUCUUUUUUCUUUUUUCAAUAAAUCAAGGUUUUUAUUUUAAUUUUUUAAUUUUUCUAUUUUUUGAGACAGUUUUCUCUUUCCUGGAUUUCUCUUUUGAGAAAGAUUUUUAUGUAAUAUUAAAAGAUAAUGAAAGGUUUUUGUUUUCCCCUUUGGGUAAAUGGCAGGGAGAGAGAAGAGACAGAUUCAGUUGGCCUCAUGCUAUCUUCAUUGGGUCUUGUUUGGAAAGCUAAGUCUGUUCUAUCAGAGUAAAGGUUUUCGUCUUAAAAAAUUUUUUUUUGAGUUACCACUUCAGAUAAAUGAGCAACCUGUGAUUCUAUUUUGUGAUAUAGUGUUCGAAACCUUUGAUAUUUGACAAACUUUCCAAAAUUAAAUUAAAAAAUAUAUCAUUUUCUGACCUAAUCAAUCCUUUUAGAUAUUAGGUCCUCUGAAGUCCAAAAAUGAUGUGUUUGGCUUAUUUGGUAUAAAAAUCAUACAGGAAGCAUUGUCAAAUAUGAAAUGGUAUUUGGCUAUCUUUGGGCUGUACUUAUAUAAAUAUGUUAUUAGUAUUAUUUUCAAAAUUAUUGGAAACUUCUAUAAUUCUGAUGUGAUUUAGGGUACAUUAUGUAAAAUUGUUGUAUGCCACAGAAGUGACCAAAAUUUCUAGUCAAUUGAGCUUUAAUAGUGGCUGUUGUAAGACUUUUGUCAUCCACAGACAUUUUGUCUGGCUUUGGUCCUUUUCAAAAGGCAGUUUAUAGUCAGAUAUAGGACUCUGAGUGCAGGCCUCUGAUAACUUUAAAAAUUGUGCAAUUGGAAUAGAGGAAAAACUGAAACUUCUGGGACUCUCAUGGAGAGCUGAUGUGUUAAACAUUGCUAAUCCUUUUGUUUUCAGAAUUAAGGAAACUUAUUUCUUUUGAGCUAUUUACAACUUUUAGCAAGUGUGUAAAGUAUACUCCUGGGAGCAAAAUUUGAAGCAUAUUGCUUUCUCUUUACCUGAUUUCUAUGGAAUUUAGAAACUACUUGUGAGUAUUCUCAACUUAUGGCAGUAUAGUUAUUUGAAUAAGUGCAAUGAGAAUCUGUUCUCUUCUGAAACAAGACACAAUUGGAGAAACUGGUUAUUUUACCAAGGCUUUGACUAAAAUGACAUGCUUUCUUUAGGGAAUCAAAGUGGACUUAUAAAGCCAAUAAAGCCCCUUGGGAAAGCUGGCCUCAUGCAUUGUCUACAGAGUCCUUGUACAGAGUUCCUGACCAGUGGUAAGUAAAGAAUGUCGCUUUCUGACAGGCCCAGGAGCCCCAAGUUAUCUUGAGACCUUGAGAUGAGGAAUUCACAGGUGUUUGGAGGCAUAGAUAAAUCCAUGGCUGGGCUUCAAGGCUUUUAAAAAGUACAACCUGAGAUUCUUUAUAGAACAGUUUCAGCAAAGCCAAUAUUAAAAAGAGCCUAUGUGAAAAAUAAUUAUUCUUGCUACACUUUAUGCAAAUAAUCAGGCCAAAUAUGAUAAGACUAAAGUUUAUUUUGUGAACAGAUCAGUUCUAUCAUGAUGUGUUUUUGAUAAAAAUAGGGACUGGACGGGAGGCUGAGGCAGGAGAAUGGCGUGAACCCGGGAGGCGGAGCUUGCAGUGAGCCGAGAUCGCGCCACUGCAGUCAGCCUGGGCGACAGAGCGAGACUCUUGUCUCAAAAAAAAAAAAAAAAAAAAAAAAAAGGGACUGGAGAGAGAAAAAUUAUGCUUCAAAAAACUAUAGUACAUCUGUUGUUAGUUGUUCUUCAGUUUUUUUCUGCAGUUUGGACUAAAUCUUAAAUUCUUUGUGGGCUGCAAGUCCCCAAACUAGAGCUUUCAAAUCUUUGCUUUUAAAACUGGAAAUCACACUCCUUAUCUUAGUACUCAUUAUUUACCUUAUAAUGUGCUGUUCCCUUAAAUGUGGUACUAAAAUUAUAGAUGGCAAUACUAAUGCCUUUGUCAUAGAAGCCUUAGAAUCCCAGCCAGGCCUGUGUGAGUAUGCUCAGACAGUUGCAAAGUGAUUUCACUCCUCUCACCUUGGGGUCAACACCUACCCCCACUACACCCCUGGUCAGCAGGAAGAAUUUAGAGGGGUCUUCGCCCUUUUCCCAUCUUCAUUAGCUAACACCUUAAGAUUAAGGUGUUAUAAAAUCCAAAGGGAGAGAUUGAAACCACCAUUGCAAAAUUGUAACUGAGACAGUGAAAAGAGAUCUGACCUAACCAAUUCCAUCUUGCUUCUAACCUCCAAGCUGUUCUUGUUCAUUCCUGGGCAUAGGCUGAACUAACUUUGGGAAGAACUUAAUUUAUAGUUCAUAGCUUAAAACAAAGGUGAUAACAGGCCUUUUCCAAGGCAAACCCCCUUCAUGCCUGGGGACUAGACUGCCUUUGUGGGACUAACAAAUUAGCCACAAGAUUAGAAAUUAUGGUUCAGGAAUCAUACAGCUGAGGCUACAAGAUUCUGACUCUAUCUAAACUGCUCCUAAUAUCAGUGCUUGAGAUAUUUUACAGUCUCUGCACUUGAUGGAUCAGCUGGCACCACCAGAUGAAUAAACUGGCUCAUCUGAUCUUGUGGUCCCCACCCAGGAACUGACUCAGUGCAAGAAGACAGCUUCUACUCCCUGUGAUUUCAUCUCUGACCUGACCAAUCAGCACUCCCAGCUCACUAACU